AAAGACGAAAGUCGACGUAUAGGGUGUGACUCCUGCCCGGUGCUGGAAGAUUAAAUGAUGGGGUGCAAGCUCUUGACUGAAGUCCCAGUAAACGGCGGCCGUAACUAUAACGGUCCUAAGGUAGCGAAAUUCCUUGUCGGGUAAGUUCCGACCUGCACGAAUGGCGUAACGACUUCCCCGCUGUCUCCAACGUUGACUCAGCGAAAUUGAAUUCUCCGUGAAGAUGCGGAGUUCCCGCG
rnacentral:rRNA from 1 species